GCAAGUCGAACGAGUUCUGAUUAUUGAAAGGUGCUUGCAUCUUGAUUUAAUUUUGAACGAGUGGCGGACGGGUGAGUAACACGUGGGUAACCUGCCCUUAAGUGGGGGAUAACAUUUGGAAACAGAUGCUAAUACCGCAUAAAUCCAAGAACCGCAUGGUUCUUGGCUGAAAGAUGGCGUAAGCUAUCGCUUUUGGAUGGACCCGCGGCGUAUUAGCUAGUUGGUGAGGUAACGGCUCACCAAGGCAAUGAUACGUAGCCGAACUGAGAGGUUGAUCGGCCACAUUGGGACUGAGACACGGCCCAAACUCCUACGGGAGGCAGCAGUAGGGAAUCUUCCACAAUGGACGCAAGUCUGAUGGAGCAACGCCGCGUGAGUGAAGAAGGCUUUCGGGUCGUAAAACUCUGUUGUUGGAGAAGAAUGGUCGGCAGAGUAACUGUUGUCGGCGUGACGGUAUCCAACCAGAAAGCCACGGCUAACUACGUGCCAGCAGCCGCGGUAAUACGUAGGUGGCAAGCGUUAUCCGGAUUUAUUGGGCGUAAAGCGAGCGCAGGCGGUUUUUUAAGUCUGAUGUGAAAGCCCUCGGCUUAACCGAGGAAGUGCAUCGGAAACUGGGAAACUUGAGUGCAGAAGAGGACAGUGGAACUCCAUGUGUAGCGGUGAAAUGCGUAGAUAUAUGGAAGAACACCAGUGGCGAAGGCGGCUGUCUGGUCUGUAACUGACGCUGAGGCUCGAAAGCAUGGGUAGCGAACAGGAUUAGAUACCCUGGUAGUCCAUGCCGUAAACGAUGAAUGCUAGGUGUUGGAGGGUUUCCGCCCUUCAGUGCCGCAGCUAACGCAUUAAGCAUUCCGCCUGGGGAGUACGACCGCAAGGUUGAAACUCAAAGGAAUUGACGGGGGCCCGCACAAGCGGUGGAGCAUGUGGUUUAAUUCGAAGCAACGCGAAGAACCUUACCAGGUCUUGACAUCUUUUGAUCACCUGAGAGAUCAGGUUUCCCCUUCGGGGGCAAAAUGACAGGUGGUGCAUGGUUGUCGUCAGCUCGUGUCGUGAGAUGUUGGGUUAAGUCCCGCAACGAGCGCAACCCUUAUGACUAGUUGCCAGCAUUUAGUUGGGCACUCUAGUAAGACUGCCGGUGACAAACCGGAGGAAGGUGGGGAUGACGUCAAAUCAUCAUGCCCCUUAUGACCUGGGCUACACACGUGCUACAAUGGAUGGUACAACGAGUUGCGAGACCGCGAGGUCAAGCUAAUCUCUUAAAGCCAUUCUCAGUUCGGACUGUAGGCUGCAACUCGCCUACACGAAGUCGGAAUCGCUAGUAAUCGCGGAUCAGCACGCCGCGGUGAAUACGUUCCCGGGCCUUGUACACACCGCCCGUCACACCAUGAGAGUUUGUAACACCCGAAGCCGGUGGCGUAACCCUUUUAGGGAGCGAGCCGUCUAAGGUGGGACAAAUGAUUAG
rnacentral:rRNA from 1 species